AAGAAAAGAGAAAGUUAUUCUACUCCAGCAGUAAAUUAUAACUGAGAGACUAUUUUUGUUAGACGUUUGGUUCCCAACGGAGACUGUUUUUGAGGCAAACAUGCCUGUUUUUCUUUCGCUCCCCGGUUCAUGUACGUCCCUCAAAAUUAUUGCCCCUCUUCAUUUUUUUCCAAGUAGCUUAAAAUGAGGCAGUAAAUGUCUGUGCAGCAUCUCACAUGAAGAGGCUUAUAAAGGAGAGAACACAGACAUUGUUUGAAAAAUCAGUUUCCUAAUGUUAGAACGCAAAUUUCCGUUUCCCCUCGCCUGAAUGUUCCCAACGUGUUCCUGGUGUUGUGAACGAGUCUGACCCGAACAAUCUUCUUCUGCUGCUUCUUCUCAGCUAAUCCAUGAUAUCAACCUCCGUUCUCAUUAAACACAGCGAAGACAAACAUGGCUGCCGUCAGUCACUCAGGUGUGAUGAUCCGAGAUGUGACCCUGCCCUCCUAAUCCCGUCCUGAUGAGGAGAUACAACUCAUGUCACAUCAGGUCCAGUCACCGGACGGACUGCCUACAGCCAAGGUGGGACAGAGACAACUGACACAUCAGUCUCUCAGUAAUCACUGUCUUAAUACGCUGAUGUGAGGAGGCUGCGACCUGAUGCCUUAAUCACCAGUGUGAGCGGCCACAGGGUAAAAGGUCCAAACAUCACAGAGACGCACUCGUAUCCAGGCCGAAGAAACGUCCGCUCAACAGUGGAGGGAGUAAAGAAUCGAUCAUAAUCUUAAAAAGCAAAUUACAUGUCAACAGCUGUCACAUAGAAACAAUGUUAUUUUCUUUUUAUUGCUAUCCAAUUACCAGCUAUCGCUACGGAAAGCAAAAGUCUUUUUACAAGUUGUCAGAGAGCUGCGUUUGCGGCGGUUUGUCAUCUCAGUGUCUCCCCUCCUCUUGCUCCAUAUAUCUUCUGUCUUCUGGGCUUCUCCUCCCACCCCACCCUCUCCUCUCCCCACAUAUGGGAUUCGCAUUUGGCUUGGCCGAACAUUUUCUUAAUGUGAUAUUAUGAUACAUUAUCUGAAGCCAUUUACUCCCUGUCACCACCUCUCAUGUCGACACAAGCUGAGUGGGCCGAGGAGAGGCGGUCAGAUUCUGUCCAGGAGCCUGUUGGUGGCGUAUACGUUUUCACCCUCUCCUGCUGCUGGCUGUAAAUCGCCUCUGUCGAAGGUGGAAGAUCUCCCAGCAUCGUGAUCCAACUGUAUGUUCAGCACGGAUGUUCUCAUCAGGAGAAGAUACUUAG